CAUAUCUGACAAAGAUAAAUUGGAUUAUUCAAAAUAUUCCUGAUGAAAUGUUACAUUUUGCAACUAAUUAUCAAUCUGUUUUAUCUGCAGACCAGCUGGGCAUUUUUUGUGCAUGCGAGGCCUGCCUCCGCAAUGAUCUUAAGAUGUCACAGUAGCGUUUACAUCUUUUAUUUCAAGAUUUAAAUAACUAGGAAGUAGCUAAUGUAAUUCACUGCUGAGAAGAAAGGCGAGUUCCUUGAUUCCUUUCCAAAGCGAUCUCCUCCUAAUGAACUUCUUUGGACUCGACUGAUAGAAGGGUAUCCCCACAGCGAAGCAAUCUUAGAUCUUCAGCCAGAGCGGACACUUUGGCGACAGUGGAUGGAGAAGGCAGCGCGGGGCUUCGUGCCCAUUGUACAGACGAGAAAGCUGAGGCUCAAGGAAGUAGAAGCAGUGACUUGCUCGAAGUCAAAUUGGAGUGCUGAAAACCAUAAGGACUUAACACCGACUGGACCUCCUUAAGUCUGCACUUUCUGCCAUUUACAAAUGUAAUAACCAUUCUUAGUUUGUGGGCCAUACAAAAACAGACGAUGCCCGGAUUUGGCCCACAGGCAAUGGCUCGUCCCUGCUGCUUUGGAG